rnacentral:misc_RNA from 1 species
UCCGGCUUGUGGCCGGCAGUCCCGCCAGACACUUGUAACUGGCAGUAAGGGUUGCGCUCGUUAGCGUACUUAAACGAACAUCUCACGACACGAGCUGACGACAGCCAUGCAACACCUGUAUAAGCUCCCUUGCGGGUCGUUCCCCUUUCGGUUCACUACUACUUAUAUGUCAAACCUGGGUGAGGUUCUUCGUGUAGCAUCGAAUUAAACCACACGCUCCGCUGCUUGUGCGGGUCCCCGUCAAUUCCUUUGAGUUUUAAUCUUGCGAUCGUACUUCCCAGGCGGGAUGCUUAACGCGUUAGCUUCGGCACAGGCGGGGUUAAGUCCGCCAACACCUAGCAUCCAUCGUUUACGGCUAGGACUAC